AUUGAACGCUGGCGGCAUGCCUUACACAUGCAAGUCGAACGGUAACAGGUCUUCGGAUGCUGACGAGUGGCGAACGGGUGAGUAAUACAUCGGAACGUGCCUAGUAGUGGGGGAUAACUACUCGAAAGAGUGGCUAAUACCGCAUGAGAUCUACGGAUGAAAGCAGGGGAUCGCAAGACCUUGUGCUACUAGAGCGGCCGAUGGCAGAUUAGGUAGUUGGUGGGAUAAAAGCUUACCAAGCCGACGAUCUGUAGCUGGUCUGAGAGGACGAUCAGCCACACUGGGACUGAGACACGGCCCAGACUCCUUCGGGAGGCAGCAGUGGGGAAUGUUGGACAAUGGGCGCAAGCCUGAUCCAGCAAUGCCGCGUGCAGGAUGAAGGCCUUCGGGUUGUAAACUGCUUUUGUACGGAACGAAAAGCCCUGGGUUAAUACCCUGGGGUCAUGACGGUACCGUAAGAAUAAGCACCGGCUAACUACGUGCCAGCAGCCGCGGUAACAC
rnacentral:rRNA from 1 species